UACGGGGGGGGCAAGCGUUGUUCGGAAUUACUGGGCGUAAAGGGCUCGUAGGCGGCCAACUAAGUCAGACGUGAAAUCCCUCGGCUUAACCGGGGAACUGCGUCCGAUACUGGAUGGCUUGGAUUUGGGAGAGGGAUGCGGAAUUCCAGGUGUAGCGGUGAAAUGCGUAGAUAUCUGGAGGAACACCGGUGGCGAAGGCGGCAUCCUGGACCAAUAUUGACGCUGAGGAGCGAAAGCUAGGGGAGCAAACGGG
rnacentral:rRNA from 1 species